CUUUAGCCCCCUUUCCAGGGAAGUGAACCGUUCUGUCUCACUGGCAUUCCAGGCACCACUGUGGUAUGAAAAACAACUGCAGCUAGCUUGUUCUCUUCCAAAACUGCUGCCCAGUUUUGUGCUUGAAACCCAGAGCCCUUGUGAUGUAAGUAUCUGAGGGAAUCUUCUGGUCUGUGAGUGGUGAGGACAGUGGAAAAAGCAUUGUAUUUGGGGCCAGAAUGUACCGUUCCUCAGGGCAGGGUCCCUCAAGGCUUCCCUUGGCUAGGGGAGGGAGUUCCCUAACCUCUUGUGCUUCCCGGGUAAGACAAUGCCCCACCCUACUUCUGCUUGCCCUCCGUGGACUGCACCCACUGUCUUACCUGUCCCAGUGAGAUGAAGCAAGUCACUCAGUUCGAAAUGCAGAAAUCACCUGCUUUCUCCAUUGGUGUCACUGGGAGCUGCAGACCAGAGUGGUUCCUAUUUGACCACCUUGCCUGGGAGCUCCUAGAAUCUAUGUAAUUUUUCUAAUUUGAGAUUUUUCUGUGGAUGGCCCAGUGUUUUCCUGUUCCAGUUGAAAUCAGUUGCUCUUUAGGCUUUCUUCAUAAGUGAGAUUUAUUUUCACUUUAUUCUGGUUUACUUCUGUUGUUGCUAUUUCUUGUAUCUUUCUGUUUCUUGAUUUCCAUUCUUAUUUUGAUUAGGUCAUCCUCAGUGACUUGCUCAAGGAAUAUAUGGGAGAUAAAUUUCCUGAAUUCUUGAAUAUCUGAAAACAUAUUUAUUUUAACUCACAUAUAAAAAUAGAUAAUUUAGGUUUAAAUUUUCCCAUAAAUUCUGAAUGCAUUACACUAAUUUUAUUUUUUAACAUUUAAUGAUGACAAAAGCAAAAUGAUUGCAAUUUUUUUUUUUUUUAGCAACCUUUUAUUAUUUUCUUUUACUUCGGAAGCACUUUAGGAUAUUCCCUUUCUGUUAGGGAUAUAAAAUAGCAUGAAACUUUGUCUAGCUUCUUUUUCUUUAAUUAGAUUGGAAAUUUUGAUGAUUCCAAAUAUUUUCUGUCUUCACUUUGUAGAAGUUCAAUCACCUAGAUGUAGAUCUUUUAUGUCUCUUCUCCGUUAGCUCAAAUUCUCUUCUCUUUGCCUUUUUUCUCUGUGUUUCGGGAAAAUUCUUUGACUUUAUUUUUCUGUUUGUCUGAUGGUAAUCAUGACUGACAUUUAUGGAAGCUUUUUUGCCAUCUCAUUAUAUAGCAGACUUCUUGUUUUAUAGAUGCUAUGUUUCAGAAGCCAGUAGAGCGUAAGGCUAAAGAAUAGAGACUUUAGAAGACCUGCCUGCAUAUCUAGGCUCAGUCACUUACUAUGUGACAUUAGAAAUGUUUCUUAAUUUCUCUGAAUCUAGAGUUCUCUAUCUGCUUUUUUAUAGGGACACUAGGAACAUUUAAUUAGAUUAAGCAUGUGAAAUUCUCAGUUCAGAGCUUGGCACAUAGUAAGCUCUAAAUAAAUGCUAGCUUUUUGCUUUCUUGAACUUCACUGAUGAAUACAAUCUCAGUUUUUCUCUUGGUCUUUCUCUUAUAUGGAGGCAAUAUGUUUAAUUAUUUCCAAUUUUCUGUUUAUGUUUGAGAGUAUGGAACUAGAUUCAUCAUCUGGGUAGGUAGUAUAUUUUUUUUCUCUGCAAUUACACACACACAUUUUCCACAUAAGCAGAUUCUCCUGAAUAGAGAAGCUUUUUGGAAACUCUCUGGAUGUGGAUGGGUCUUAUAAAUGUCAGUCUGUGUUCUAGGGUGAAUGAACAGAAACCUUCCUCUUAGGCUGAGAAAGCAUAAAUGCCAGAAUAGGUAGGUGCCAACUUCAAUAUCAAUAGUCUAGUUUCUGCAGCAGUUAUUCAAAUCUGCAGAGAGAAUUCUUUUAGAUUUAUUUAUUUACUUAUUUAUUUUUGCCUGGAUAUAAAUGAUAAGCUGUUGGUGGCUUUGCCUUUAUGUUCUGGCAGAAAGAGGUGGUCUCUCUGGGUAGCCUUUCUGCAGACAGAAUUUUACCUCUUUUUUGUUCAGCAUCUUUUUUCCCUACUAUCAACUGUGUCUGCUGGCUUUAGCACAGAGCAUGUUCAGAGUAUUCAUUCCCUGGUUACAGCAUCUUCUUUUCUGUUUAUUCUUAACACGUUGCCUGCAACUUUCUUCCUCUUAGGAAUUUAAUAAUUUGACUGUGAAACCCCCAAUUAUUUUAAUAUAUUUUCCCUUUUGUGUUGAUUUUUAUCAUUUUAAUGGCACCGUUGUCUUUGAACAAACGAGGCAAACAUUCUGCUCUGUUCUUCAAAUUGAACAAGAAACCUCCAAGUCUGUUUACUUCUCCUUAAUUCAUUCAUUUUGCAACCCAUCUUUCAUUCUACAAGCAUCCCUUAAGCAUAUAUAAAUGUGCUUGUCACAUACGAGAAGAUGGAUGUAGAGCAAUGAUUAUCUUCAUGACUCUCACAUUUAUUGUAUCAUGCAUGAAUACUGUAACCAAAUUCAACAAUAAGGGGUUUUAUUUUAGGAGUAAUGGAUGUAAAUGCAAUAAACAUGGAAGCAUUGUACAUUUUUCUCAUAUUAGAUAAUAUUCUUAAGUUGAAAAUAAUGAUUAAAUUAGGCGAGAACAUAUAAGGGGCAUAUUAGAUAUUCACAGCAACUACGGAUGUUUUAGAAAAAUGAUUUGUAGUGAUAAGAACAGCAGGAUAUAAAAGAUUUCAAAGGUAGUUGAUUAAAGGAGCAGCCACCAUGGGAUCGGGAGGGGGUGGAGGCUGCACCCCGCGCCCACCCAUCGGCCAGCAGCUGCCGGAUUGCCGCGUGGUCGCCGUCGUCUUCCUCGGCCUCCUGCUGGACCUCCUGACCUUCACGCUGCUGCUGCCCCUGCUGCCCGGGCUACUGGAGAGCCACGGCCGUGCCCACGAUCCCCCUGUGUCUCCUGGCAGCGCUGAGUGGACUGGUUUGCCACCACCAUUGGGAUGCCAGUGGAGAAGAGGUACAACAGCAUCUUGUUAGGAGAUCUGAUUGGCUCGGCCUUCUCUGUUCUACAGCUUCUGGCUGUGCCACUCACUGGGGCCACCUCUGACUGCUUGGGGAGGUGCCCCGUGAGGCUGCUGUCUCUGACGGGUGUGGCCACCUCAUAUGCCGUCUGGGCCAACUCUGGGAGCUUUGCGGCCUUCCUGGCAUCCAGGCUGAUUGGGGGCAUCAGCAAGGGGAACGUCAGCCUCUCCACGGCCAUCAUUGCUGACCUGGGCUCGCCUCUGGCCUGCAGCCAAAGCAAGGCGGUCAUCGGGGUGGCCUUCUCCCUGGGCUUCACCCUGGGCCCUAUGCUUGCAGCCUCGCUGCCCGUAGAAAUGGCACCCUGGUUUGCCCUGCUCUUCGCAGCCUCAGACCUGCUGUUCAUCUCCUGCUUCCUGCCAGAGAUGCUGCCUCUGGAGAAAUGGGGCGCCCUCUAUCGCCCUAGGGUUCCGCGGUGCCGCAGAUCUACUCAGCCCCCUGGCCCUGUUGCGCUUCUCCGCUGUGGCUCCUGGCCAGGACCCACCCACUGGAGACAGAUUCAGCAGCCUGCGCCGCUUGGGCAUAGUGGGCUUCCUCUACCUCUUCCUGUUCUCGGGCCUGGAGUACACGCUGAGCUUCCCAGCACAACAGCGCUUCCAGUUCAACAGCCUGCAGCAGGGGAAGAUGUUCUUCCUCAUCCACCUCAUCAUGGCCACCAUCCAGGGUGCCCGUGCCUGGCGGAUCCACCCUGGCAGGAAAGUCUCUGUGAUGAAGCCAGCCCUCAUGCUGCUGGUGCCUGCCUUCCUCCUCAUCGGCUGGGACCAUUCUCUGCCAAUGCUAGGCCUGGGGCUGCUGCUCUACUCCAUUGCCUCUGCGGUUGUGGUGCCCUGCCUGUCCUCCGUGGUUGCUGGCUAAGGCUCGCCAGGGCAGAAGGGCAUGGUCAUGGGCACACUGCACAGCCUAGGCACUCUGGCCAGGGUCAUGGGGACCCUGGUGGCCGCUUCAGUGUGCUGGCUGGCCAGAACCCAGGCCUGCUUCACUGCGUGGUAGGAGCUCUUCCUGCUCCCCUUCCUUGUCCUGCGAAGCUGAGUUGUCCAGCGCAGACGUUCAAGGCUGAGUAGCUGAGCCAUUGCACCCUGCUUGCCUGACCCCCUCCUUCCCAGUCCAGGGAGAUCCAGUGGGUGGGGGAGGAAGCCCUGGCAGCUCCUUCGGCCUCACUCCUUUAUGAUUCCCAGCAGUAGCACUCCAAGGCUGUUCGAGUUUCUGUGUGUGUGUUUUGUUUUUUUGUUUUUGUUUCUUUUUUUACUAUGCACCAGGUUUCUGAUAACAGAAUAAAGCAGCUAUUUUAUACCAAAAAAAACAAAAUCAAGUUUGUUUUUAUUGAUUGUAGAGAGAAUUAAAGCAUUGGGUGAGCAGAGAUGCCAGAGAUUUUUUUUUGGCCGCAUUCAUGAUUGCUUUGGUAAUAAUAGAUAUUGAUGAGAGUAAUGAUGAUAAUUAGCAAUUUUUAACCUCCUACUAUGUGACAGAUACUGUUCUAAGCUCUGCUAUGUUUUUCACACAGCUUUGUGAAGUAAAUACUGUUAAAAUUCAUUUUACAAACUGAAAAACAGCUUUAAAAAGGAAAAGUUAUCAGCACAAGGACAUUACGAGAAAUUUAAGACAGCGCUAUCUCUUUUGUUUUAUUUUUGUUACCUAUUUCAGAAAAACAACAACAACAACAACUAUAAAAUAUGCGUAGGGUAUACAAAGUGAAUAUACAACAGUUAAGGGAACAAUUGCCUUUGAAGUUUCUUGACCCAUCCCAUUGUCAUCUGUCUGUGCCUCCUAAGAGAUACUAUUUUGAAGUUUGCGGCUAUAGUUUCCUUGCUUUUUCUUUAUAGCAUUAUCUGUAUUUCUUUAUUCUAAACAAUAUAUUGUUUGUUUUUUCAUACAUUUAAAGUUAUAUAAAUGAAAGCAUUACAUUUGUCAAGCUGUUCUAUAACCUGCUUUUUCAUUUAAUGUUAUAUUCCUGACAUUCAUCUGUAUUAUUGCAUGCCCUGGUAGUUACUCAUUUUCAUUUCUAUAUAGUAUUCCCCAAAAUUAGUAUACCAUGCUUUUUAAUCAACUUUACUCUUGAAUUAUGUUUCACCAUUACAAAGAGUGCUGGAUGCAUAUUCUCGUGCAUUCUCCUAUACAUGAAUAUAUAGACACAUAUAUAUGUAACAUGACAAAAUGUAUACGUACGUACACACACACCUAGGAUUUGUAUUGUUAGCUUACAGUGUAUGAAUGUAUGUACAUCUUACUGCAUAAUACCAAUUUGCUUCCCAAAUUACAUUACCCAACUUUUGGAGUAUUAUUUAUUGCUCCUUUUGUAGAGUUGCUAUGUUUAUUAUUAGUCAUUGUUUGAUUGACAUGUGAGCUUUAUAUAUUUAAGCUAGUAUUUUAACAUAUUACAAAUAUUAUCUCUCAGUUGUGUGCCUUGAAUUUUUACUUUUAAAGUAUGAUAUCUUUUGAUAAACAGAAGUUCUCAAUUUGGUAUAAUCCAGGAUAUCUUCAUAAUUUGGGCUUUUCAUGUUUAGGAAAUCAUUCCUUACCCCAGAACAUUAAGUAUAUUAUUUUCUCUCAUUUUUUUUCAAAUUGUAAACUUUCAUCUUUUACACUUAGUUCUUUAAUCUACACACAAUUUUUUUUGUCUAUGGUAUAAGUAGGGAUCUAAUGUGAUUUGUCUUCUACUUUGUUUCAGCCUCUUUUACUGAAAAGUCCAUUCUUUUUCUACAGGCCUUUAAUUCAGGCCUAUAAUUAAUCAAGCUUCCAUAUGUCUUUGAUUCUGGGCCCUUCUUACUGCUCCCAUUCUAUUUGUCUAUCCCUAAUCUGCACAAUCUUAAACUACAGUCUGAUAUUCUGGAUACUUUAUAGCUUAAAAAAUCAUAAGACUUGAUAACUGGCAUGACAGGUCCUCCUACCUUGUUUUUAUUUGGUAAUGUGUUGGCUAUUCUUGAUAAUUAGUUUUUCCAAUAGACACAUUUUAGAAUUAGCUUGUGAUAGACAGAUACAUACAUACAUAGGUAGAUCCAUAGAUGGAUAGGCAGAUAUUUAGGUAAAUAGAUACCACUACUGUCACCAAAAUUAAUCCAUUAAUUCUUUCUUUGUAAUUGUAUUGAUUCUAUAGAUCAAUUGGGGUAGAACUGACAUCUAUAUAUUAUAUAAUUUUCUAAUAUAUGAAUAUGGUACAUCUAUCCAUUUGUUUAGUUUCCUUUGAUAUUUUGAAAAGCUGUAUAAUAUUUUCAGAAAGGUAUUGCAUAUAUUUUGUUAAGUGUAAUCUUAACUACUUUGUGGAUUUUUUUCGUGCUAUUUUAAAGUAAUACUUUUAUUACAUUUUCUGACGCCUUGCUACUGGUAUUUUAAAAUGCAAUUGGUUUUAUAUUGUUUUGUUUUCAGUAACCCUUCGAAAAUGUUUUAUUAAUCCUAGUAACAAAUAGAAAGUGCUUAGCUCUGCACCCUAUUCAUUUAUUUUGUCUUUUCUGUUUGAUGUUUGAAAUCACAGUUUUUCUAUGCACAAUUGAUUAAAGUGCUUGGUAUUAGCGCUAUUCUUUGACUAGGACUUUGAGGCCUCUGAGGAAAAUCCUUACAGAUACAUUUUACUUGCAGGGCUUGAACCCUAGCUGCUGCAACAAGCAUAUCAUUUGCUUUGUUUUGCCCUGAAUUCUUUUGUUCUUAUCAUUGCUUUGGAAUAUGCAUCUUGCUCAUAGUUCUGCUUCUCUGUUCGGCUUAACACUAACUGAGCUUCUAUAGAAGCUAAAUAUUGGUACAGACAGUGGACUGGGUGCUAGGGAUACGAGAAUGGACAAGUCAGUUCUUGUUUUCUAGUAAUUUAGGGUCUAGUGGACUUUCUGGCUGACUCGUUCCUGAUUAAAUUGUUUAUUGUUAAGGAUAAUUUAUCUUCUUUAGGAAGUUCCACUUUUGAUGGGCAUUUACUAGAAGCAAAACAUUCUUGUGGGUGUUCCCAUGUGUUUUUUUCUUUGUGAUUAAACAAAUAAACAUGUGUGUUAUUCAUUGGCCCAUCCUUGAUUCUGUAGCACUUUUGUCAUUCGCUCUUUACUUCUGAGGGUGUCUUGGGAUAGUCAAAGAGUUAGAAGAUGAGUAUUUCGAUGGAAUGGACAUGGUCUUCCAGCUCCUGAGUUUGGUUGCAGAUAUCUAUUUGGUGAAGGGAGCAUCGGGGCCAAGACUGGCGUAUAGAGAAUCUUACAUGGCCCAAUUCCUUUUGAGAUCUACUUUUGGUAAUUUUUUGUCUUGUAUUUCUAAAAAUAUCUUGGGCACUUCAUUUUCAAUUUUGAAAGUCAGAGCAGUGUUUGAAUUAAGAUUGGUAUUGUUUUUACAUCAACCUUUUACCUAUGAUGUGGAGAGAAUCCAUUCCCACUGGCUUUGUGUGGCCUAGAAAGGCUGCUGGGCUUAGAUGUGUAGUCAUUUUUCCAUCUGAGAAGACUCUUACAACAUUUUCCAUUCUAAAGUUAAUGAGAAUAUGGCCAAGAGAUAAGUCACUUUUUCUCAGUACAUGGUAAUGGGCUUAUUAGUGUCCCUGUUUAAACUCACCUUAGAGCACUUUCCAUAAGCUAAGAGAAAAAGUCCUUGGGACACUGAUUAAAUAAAUUAUCACACAUUCAUAUGAUAGAAAAUCAUCCAACACCUAAAAGGAUUCAAAGAAUUAUUAAUGUUAUGAGAAAAUGUUUAUGAUAAAAUGCUAAGUGAAAUUAGCAAAAUGAACUGUGUGUUUCAUAUUAUUAA